CCUACGGGAGGCAGCAGUGAGGAAUAUUGGUCAAUGGACGAGAGCCUGAACCAGCCAAGUAGCGUGAAGGAUGAAGGUCCUAUUGACUGUGAACCUCCUUAAUAGUAGAAUAAAGUGAUCCACGUGUGGAUUUUUGUAUGUACUCUACGAAUAAGGAUCGGCUAACUCCGUGCCAGC
rnacentral:rRNA from 1 species